UGAGUUCUGUCAGGUCAUGAUAAU
rnacentral:piRNA from 1 species